GAGUGGUGGUGGUCAAAAGGUGGUUUUCCACGUCAAUGGUGGUUAGAGAAUGGUAUUCCAUAUUGCCGAUAGGGUUAGCCAGCAACAAAGAAGAAGAAAAAGAGAAAUAGAAGAGAUCCUCAUGUUCUAUAGAAUCCAGAGACUUGCCUGCUUAAUUUAGGCAUUGACGAUGGCCCAGGAACCCAAAAAAUGAAAAAGAGGGGGACAUUUAGCAACCAUAUCUUGCCUCCAAUGAGACCUCAUGGCUG
rnacentral:lncRNA from 1 species